CGAAAGAGAGUGACGGGAGGGAAAGAAACUCAAAGAGACGGAUUAAAAAGAAAGAAAGACAUAAAAGAAGAGAUGGAGAGAGAAUCACAAUGUUUACCUCUGGACUGAACCAACUAGCUUUUCUCCCUGUGGAAUUAUUCUCUGGAUUAUCUCCCUAUACCUUCAGCAGGGAAACCUGAUGUGUCACACUGACACUGACUGAGAUUUUGCUGACUCCCAUUGCAAAAACGUCACCUUUGACCCCUCUACUCAAUUCUCGGCUACUGAAGACAACUUCACAUCAGCAGGGGAAACUGUCGGGAUAACUAUGCAUUAGCUCACUGGCGAUAUUUGGCAGCCAUCUGCAAGACGUUUCCACCAACAACCUGAAAACUGAGCAGCAUGGAGGUGCUGAGUGGCCCCUGGGCCGACCUGGCUCUGCUCCUUCGACAGACAGACGGAGAGACAGACAGCUUUCUUCUUCUCUGGGUGUUUGGCCUGCUGCCGUUCCUGUGCGUCUGUCUGCUGCUGCUGCAGCUGAUUAUCUACCUCAGCUGGAAGCUCAGACAGGUAGAGGCUGAUCCGUCGUGGUGUCUGCAAGACAGAAGGGCCAUCUACAGGCAGACAUACAGAAGUACACACCAGAGGACAAGGAGUGUCGGGUCGCACACUCACACCUGACAGGAGACACGUACUUCAUCAACAGACCGGACACCUGAAACCUGCUGAAGUGAAGUCCUGGAGGAGCUCUACAGAGAAAUGUGACUGUUAACACCAGCAGGGAGGGUCAUGAUGAAGGUGCUUUUACAAAAGAUGAAUGCUGGAAAGGAAAUCAUUGCUUGUCAAAGACAUGGAAUUAUGUCUGUUGUUUUUAAAACAUCUGAAAGUUAUCAAGAAAACUGUCUGUGACCUUCUGUAUUGUCCAGAGCUGUAUUUAUUUUUACCCUCUUAUUAAAGCUCGGGACGAAGUUUGAGAAACUGUUGUAUAACUGCACCCUUACGUUUCAUUAUUAUAGUCAACCUGAGCUGAAGAUACGAGACACUGGCUAGUUUUAUGAACAUUAACAAGCAGGAUUUAAGUUUAUAUCAAUAAAUGACGCCACGAAUGAAUGAAUAAAUGAUCUGAUCAACAGGUUUCAGAGUAUAACAAUCCUUUAUUUAAACAGUGUUACACAGGGGAGGAGUGGCUGUGGGUGGGGAGACACAAGACAAUCAAGCUGCUAGAUAGACAAACCCUACCGGUGAUCAUCGGCUGGCUAAAGAGGAAACGGUGAGGCAGCUGUGGUUGGUUUUCCAAAACGUGUUUAUGUACAAAGUUGUUUUUUCUGGGAGUUUUAACUCACUGAAAUACAAAAUGAUGCUGGUAUCAACUGACACUGCUUCAUCCGUGGCACAACGCCUGAGAUGUAACUGUAAAGAAGAAGGUAGUCCAAUUAUCAUUCGCCUUUUAAAACAUCAUACGGAAAGAAGUGUUAUUAAUUAGAUCCCAUCUGAUAGCAAUUCAUUGUGUUAUUUUACACGCAACACUGACCCCAAACAUGUUACCACGCUGAGAUCCUGACAGUUUAUAAAUCAGCUGGCGUAGAAUCAUCAUCAUCUGUCCGCGCUGUCUUUUUUU